CCUAUAUUUUAUUUUGGUAAUGCAUGCAGUAUUCCCUCUAGAAUCGAAUUUACAAAGAAAUCCACAAUGGGGGCAAUUGUAGAGGUGUUCUUCCUUUCUCUCUCGCACAUAGUACAAAACCCUCUAGCAGUGAUAUUGUUAAGCCAAAUUUAGAAGGGACUCCAUAUUCUACAGAGAGGAUCACUGAGGAAGCCAGUGAUCAAAACUCAGGAAUAAACAAUCUUUGCUCAUUUUAAACUAUACAAAUAUUUGUUGAAUAAAUUCUAUUUUAUUUGUAUCCUCUUUUGAUGGAAUGUUAGUUUCUGAAGCCAAAUGAUAUACAGAUUCUUCAGAAAACCCUGCUGAACACUCAACUAUACUUCUUGGCAUAUUUGCCUCCGUAUACAGGUUUUGUCGAAUCUCUGUCUACUGGGUACUGCUUCUUGUUUCUCCUGAAAACAACUCCCCCACCUUGUAGAGGAAACUGCUCUUUCUCUACUUCAACUGUGCGGUUCUAGUGUGAACUGCUAAUUAUAGAGCCCUGACUUCUCUGUUCCUGUCAUAUGGGCAGGAAUGUGGUUAAUCAUCAUGUAUUAUGCACUGGCUUUCGUGAUGGCUCCAAGCGGCUAUGGAAGCUAAACCAGUUAGCAACCCUCUCCAGGAUUUUCAAAGUGGAGCUAGGAGAGAAGGCAGAGCCCUUUCUUUUCUGGUGAUGAUGCCUGAAACAGCCAUGUAACUCCAGCAUGCGGAGAAAGCACGUCUGCAAGAUGGAGGCCAAGUGGCAGACACAGGCGAUACAAAGGGUAGAAUCCUUGAGGCCCCCACUGCCCUCUUUGGCCUCCACUGCCUCUGGGGGUUGGCACUCCCUCUUUUCUCUCUAUUCUGCGAGCUCUAAUAUCUUUCUUCUUGCUCCUCUUCCCUGCCCAAGUCAUCGAUUUUUAAGGAAUAUAUGCUCCCUUACUGGGAUUUUUCCCACCUGCUGGGAAACUCAGCUCAACCCCCAGCUCAGAUACUGCUUACCUGUGAUCCACUGCUGGCCUGGCCACAGAUUCCAGAAGCAGUGACGGGAGAAUGGAAUGAGAUGGUCAGCACUUGACAUCUACAGGGAAAUGUCCCACUAAAGAACUUGAUAUCAGCAACGAAGGGAAAUGAGAUUGUCCUCCAUGAGCUAAACAACAAAAUCGAUAUAUAUUGUAUGGAGCAGAGAUGUGCAAAGUCAUCAUGAUGAACAUAGUAAUCUGAUCGAAGGUAUUAACAGAUCUAAAGGACUAGUGGUCAAUCUGAAGCAGGCUUAUAUACUAUGGGAGAAGGAAAAGGAGAGAGGUGAGAAAGCAAAUCUGUGUACUCCAUCCACAUUUUGGGUCUGCUAAGCACUGAGCUAAGGACAGUGAACAAAUCCCACUUACCCUACCUUCAUGGAGUUCUAAGCCAAACUCACAGAGUCAUCUAAGAACAACUCAGGGGGAAAAAGCAACUUGGUCAAGGGCAUCCAGUAUUCCAGGCCAAAGGCAAUGUAGCUCCUUUGUGGCCAUGAAUGUUAUUUCCCUUUCCAUCUUCCCAUCUCAGGCUCAUAGAUGAGGAACUUUUUCCACCCAACUUGCAGACAAUAAUGUAGAGAAGAGUUGCAAUCUUUCCCUCCUUUCCCUCCCCCUUUUACUCUUUUGUCCCCAAAGGAGGAGGAACUAAUCAGACUCAGGACUGCCUGUCAACUGCUGGACCUCCUGUUUCAAGAGAUGAGCCAUGGAGUCAGGGGCGCUGCUCAUGCAUGGCAUGCUCUUUUGCUUUCUUUGAUCAGCCCGUCCAGCACUGGAGUUCUUGAGCCUCACAUCUUCAAAUCUAGAAAAUCUGCUGUCUUGGAUGGAGUAGAUUUCAGACCCAUGCUAAGCUGA
rnacentral:lncRNA from 1 species